AAACCAUGGUGCGGACAUUUGGUUAAAAGGUCUUUGAACCUCUCAUGGGCCUCAAAGAGUGUUUCUAAAUCACCUUGUUUGAAAGAAGAAAUUUCUUGUCUUAACCU